GAUGAAGAACGUAGCGAAAUGCGAUAAGUAAUGUGAAUUGCAGAAUUCAGUGAAUCAUCGAAUCUUUGAACGCACAUUGCGCCCGCCAGUAUUCUGGCGGGCAUGCCUGUUCGAGCGUCAUUUCAACCCUCAGGCCCCCAGUGCCUGGUGUUGGGGAUCGGCCCAGCCUUCCUGUAAGGCCGCCGGCCCCGAAAUCUAGUGGCGGUCUCGCUGUAGUCCUCCUCUGCGUAGUAGCACAACCUCGCAGGUGGAACGCGGCGGUGGCCAUGCCGUUAAACACCCCACUUCUGAAAGUUGACCUCGGAUCAGGUAGGAAUACCCGCUGAACUUAAGCAUAUCAAUAAGCGGAGUA
rnacentral:misc_RNA from 1 species